UACGUAGGAGACAAACGUUAUCCGGAGUUACUGGGCGUAAAGGGCGUGCAGGUGGUCUGUUAAGUCUGGCGUGAAAGCUCCUGGCUAAACCGGGAGAGGUCGUUGGAUACUGGCGGACUAGAGGACGGUAGAGGCGUGUGGAAUUCCGGGUGUAGUGGUGAAAUGCGUAGAGAUCCGGAGGAACACCAGUGGCGAAGGCGACACGCUGGGCCGUACCUGACACUGAUACGCGACAGCAUGGGGAGCGAACGGG
rnacentral:rRNA from 1 species